rnacentral:rRNA from 1 species
GUGACUGAGUGGCGGGACGGUGAGUAACGCGUAGGGUAACCUGCCUCAUACGAGGGGGAUAACAGUUGGAAACGACUGCUUAAUACCGCAUAAGCGCACAGGACCGCAUGGUCUGGUGUGAAAAACUCCGGUGGUAUGAGAUGGACCCGCAUCUGAUUAGCUAGUUGGUGGGGUAACGGCCUACCAAGGCGACGAUCAGUAGCCGACCUGAGAGGGUGACCGGCCACAUUGGGACUGAGACACGGCCCAAACUCCUACGGGAGGCAGCAGUGGGGAAUAUUGCACAAUGGGCGAAAGCCUGAUGCAGCGACGCCGCGUGAGCGAAGAAGUAUUUCGGUAUGUAAAGCUCUAUCAGCAGGGAAGAAAAAAUGACGGUACCUGACUAAGAAGCACCGGCUAAAUACGUG